AACGCGAAGAACCUUACCCAGGCUUGACAUGCAGUAGACAGCGCCAGAAAUGGCGUCUCCCUUCGGGGCUGCUGCACAGGUGCUGCAUGGCUGUCGUCAGCUCGUGCCGUGAGGUGUUGGGUUAAGUCCCGCAACGAGCGCAACCCUUAUCAUUAGUUGCCAACACGUAAUGGUGGGAACUCUAAUGAGACUGCCUGGGUUAACCAGGAGGAAGGUGAGGAUGACGUCAAGUCCGCAUGGCCCUUAUGUCUGGGGCUACACACGUGCUACAAUGGUCGGUACAGAAGGCAGCGAAGCCGCGAGGUGAAGCAAAUCCAAAAAGCCGAUCUCAGUUCAGAUUGUAGUCUGCAACUCGACUACAUGAAGACGGAAUUGCUAGUAAUGGCGAGUCAGCAACAUCGCCGUGAAUACGUUCCCGGGCCUUGUA
rnacentral:rRNA from 1 species